rnacentral:lncRNA from 1 species
GAUUUCCUAUCUUUCAUUCAUUACAAGCACAUUUUUCCUUACAAACUUGAACAUAGUUAUAAUAGCUGCUUUAAAAUCCUUAUCUGCUCAACUUGAUACAUAGAUCAUUUUGGUGACAGUCUUAUUUGGUUGUCUUUUCUUUUGAGAAGGGAUUAUAUUCUGCUGUUUCUUUAUAUGUUAGUAAUUUAGAUUUUUGUCCUGGACAUGGUGAAUAAAAUAUUGUAGGAACUCUGGAUUCUGAUAGGUUUCUCCAAAGACUUUCUUUUUUUUUAAGCUGGCAGUUAAUUUCACGGAACUCCAACUGCAAGCUCUUGCUCCCCUGCAGUUGGUAGCAGUUCAAAUUUCAGUUCAGUUCUUUAACCUGGAUGAUCUACAUGAAAUCUUUCCUGUGCAUGCAUACUUUCAGAGACUAGCUGGAGUAUGGGGCAGAGUUUAUACACAGAACUUAGGUUGCUCUCUCGGGUUCUUUCCUUUCCAUUAUUUCCCUAUAUUUUCCAGCAGCUGUUAUUGCCCCAAACUCUGCCCCAUGGUUCUUCAAGUCAGCAAAACUAAAGGUUCCCAUGACGCAGACUGGGGACUGCUCUCAGGUGAAGAGCUGUAAAAAUGGGAAACUCACGCAAUGCUAUUCUCUUCUUUCAAGUGUUCUCUCCUUGGUAGUAUCAGCCUAUAUUGGGUUGCUUUCCAUUGCUUUCAGGUAGUUAAUUUUUAUAUUUUGUCAGCGUUUGUGGCUUUAUCUGUUGGAGGGUUGGUCUGAAAGAACUACUUGGCCAUCAUCUGAAGUGGAACCCUCUCCAGCUGAGCAGUAUUCUUUUUGCUACUUCCUCUGCUUGCUGAAGGGGAAUUUAUUCCUGGUUACUUUUAAAACUAGGUGAACAGAAAUUUUAAAAGGUUCUGUCUCUGGGAAAUCUUAACAAAUGUUUACUAACCAUUUUCUAAAUUAGCAAUUAAGUAUUUUUCACUGGAGGUCCCACUGGCUUUGGGGAAAGGAUGUUCUUCAUUAUGGAAGACUGCUCCAUGCAGUAGGGGACAUAAACACAGACUCUUUCUACUAGAUGCCAGUAGUAUCCCUUAGUGAUCGUGACAUGCAAAUAAUAUCCCCACAUAUUUCCAAGUGCCUGCUGAGGAGACAUAUCCCUUAAAGUUGGGAACUAUUAGACCUUCUUUCAGCCAUAACAAAUUUAUCUUUCUAAAACACAAACUCCAUAUGGUAUAUCUGUUUAAAGUCUUUCAGUGUCUCCCUUCUCUACAAAAUUAAGUGUAGGCUCCUUAGCAUGACAUAUAAGAUCCUUCACAAUCUGGCCCCAGCUUAUCUUUAAAGCCUCAUCUCCAGCAUUCCUCAAAUGUGGUCUGGUCUGUCUGUCUUUUACAAGCUGUUCUCUUUGUGAUAUCCUUGACUGCCUUCUCUAUCUAAAGUUCCCCUACUCAUCAUCUGAGAUCGACCUCGAAUAUAACUUAGUCAUCAAAGCUCUCAAAGACUAUCAUCAUAUCUGUCAUGCAUACCACUGGUGUUAAUUGCUUCUUCCUUUGUGAACCAUAGCACUUUAUACAUAUCUUUAUUAUUAUAAUUAUACUAUAAUUUUUUACAUGUCCCAUUCCUUUAUCAGAACGUGCUCUUAUUAAAGUCAAGGACUGCUCCAUCUGCCAGCUUCUAUUAGAAAGCCUGAACUAAGCAAGUGGCAGAGGAUUUAGAGAGGAGGAAUAAAUCAAAAACACGGGAAAUUGAUAGGAUUUAGUGACUUUGGAUAAAGGUAUCUGAUAUGAGGAUGUGGUUGUCCUAUUAUCAAAGGUAGCCACUAGGAGAAGCAACCAGUGGAGUGAAAUGCAAAAGAUAAACGAUCCCAAUUUGGGGAUAUUUUGAAUUUGAAAGUAUCAAUAGAAUGUUAACUGACUGCAGCUAGAGAAUAAGACUAGCGUUCAAAAAAAUCCAGGCUUGGGACCAGCCAGGUGGUAUAGUGGUUAAGUUUGCAAGCUAUGCUUCAGAGGCACAGGAUUCAUGGGUUUGGAUCCUGGACAUGAACCUACACACUGCUCAUCAAGCCAUGCCGUGGCAGUUUCCCACAUACAAAAUAGAGGAAUGUUGGCACAGAUGUAAGCUCAGGGCCAAUCUUUCUCAAGCAAAAAACUAAUUAACUAAAAAGUCCAAGCUGGAUGUGCAAGUUUGGGGGUUGUAUUAGUAUUUAUGUUAUACUAAGUGAAGCAUAAGAAAAGACAACUCCUAUAGGGAGUAUGAUGAGUAAAAAGAAGUGCUGUGUGGAAAACACAGCAUUUUGAGUUUUGGAAGAGAAAAAGAAGUCAGAAAAAGGUUGUUGAAAUUGUGGAAGGACCAGAGAAAAAUGGUAUCCCAAGAGCUAGGGGAGGAGAGUUUCAAAAAGGAUGCUGAGCUUUGCAUCUGCUGCAGCACAACUAAGUUUUUACCCAUCUAUAUUCAGGCCUGUUUUAGUCUACCUUUUCCACUUGGGGCUGAGUUCUUUGAGGCUGGAAAGCCAUAGUAGUGCUAAUGGCUUUUAUAUUGUCUCUGAUCAAAUUCUCCCUUACCCAAUGUGUAAUCUGAACUCUGCUGAAACCCACAGGAGUGCUUAUGGUCCACUGCAGCUCAGGCCCGUCUACACCCUUCCCUGCUAAGGACUGGGCUGUUUUAAGCCCAGAACACACCAUACCAACUGGGUACGGCUACUGCAUCCUUCCUAUACACAAUCACCAAUUAUCUUUUCUCAUACAGAUCAUAUUUUUUUAAGAAAAGAAAAAAAGGAAAGAAAAGUCCUUAAAAACUUUGAGUCCUCCAAAUUUAUCAUCAACGAGAUUUCCCUAAGUACAUUCUGUUAAAACUAACACUCUUUAAUCUCGAUGAACCCUGUGCUUUCAUCCUUCCAUUCAUUUGGUCUGUUUUUUCUUCUGGGAAGCUUGUAACCCCUUCCCCAUAUUUACCUGUUGAAAAGUUAUUUGUCCUUCAAAGUCCUCUCAUGCUCUUUCCUCUCCAGGUCAACUUUCUCAAUUCUUGCAGCCAGAAAUUUAUUCUUCUCAUAUCUCCCUCAGUACCUAACACAGACCUUGGCCCAGAGUAGUUUCUCAAUAAAUCCAAUUGAAUUAUUUUAGCUCUGGUUCACUUUCUAUAUAAGCAUACAGAAAACGGCUUUACUAUUUCCAUUUUUAAAAAAUGUAUUCAGGGCUUCCAGGUAUACACAAUUUACAAAC